AUGCUUACAUGUGUAUAUGUAUGUGCAGAUAAACAUAUCUAUCUCAAUUUUGGGGAGAUCUUAUUACCAAAUGUCAGUUCAGUGAAAAGACUCACAUGUGAGAUAGUGAUAAUUAUGUUUAGUGAGCAGGAAGCCACACAAGAACCAGACCUACUGAAAUCUCAUUUCCUAUCAAUUUCUGUCCGCGUAACUACGUAUUCCCUCCACCUUCACCUGCAAGAGCACUGGCCUGCUCUGCAGCCCCUCUGUGGUGUGUUUUCUCAAACAACUCCCCCCUCAUGUCCCUUAUGCCCCUUUUUUUUUUUUUUUUUGUCCUCAGCUUCCUACUAUGUGCAAGGCAAGGAAAAGGCUGCACUAAUGCUGGUCCUGCAGAGCGGGGAUGCCAACUGGCUGAGCCCCUCUGCUGUGGGGCUGCGUGGCAGGACAAAUGGAACAGGAAGCAAGGUCAAGUCUAGCAUCAGUUAAAUAUAUGGCUACAUCUAUCAAGGCUUUCGGAUCUUGCAGUUCCAGGGGACGAUUUCAACACAUGCAGUCCUUUGCUAAUAUUAAAUAGCAAAAUUGCCUUAAAGAUCAAUAAAACUGUUGUGAUUUUUGUGCA
rnacentral:lncRNA from 1 species